UAAUAGGAUUUUUUGAAAUCCACCUUUUUAACUUUGAGCUUGUUGG
rfam:Vibrio caribbeanicus ATCC BAA-2122 VIBC2010_50, whole genome shotgun sequence.